rnacentral:rRNA from 1 species
GACGAACGCUGGCGGCGUGCCUAAUACAUGCAAGUCGAGCGGAUGAAUCGAAAGCUUGCUUUUGAUUCGUUAGCGGCGGACGGGUGAGUAACACGUGGGCAACCUGCCCUGUAGACGGGGAUAACACCGAGAAAUCGGUGCUAAUACCGGAUAACACGAAAUGUCGCAUGACGUUUCGUUGAAAGACGGCGCAAGCUGUCGCUACAGGAUGGGCCCGCGGCGCAUUAGCUAGUUGGUGAGGUAACGGCUCACCAAGGCGACGAUGCGUAGCCGACCUGAGAGGGUGAUCGGCCACACUGGGACUGAGACACGGCCCAGACUCCUACGGGAGGCAGCAGUAGGGAAUCUUCCGCAAUGGACGAAAGUCUGACGGAGCAACGCCGCGUGAGCGAAGAAGGCCUUCGGGUCGUAAAGCUCUGUUGUUAGGGAAGAACAAGUAACGCAGUAACUGGCGUUACCGUGACGGUACCUAACGAGAAAGCCACGGCUAACUACGUG